rnacentral:tRNA from 2 species
GCCGGGGUGGCUUAGUUGGUAGAGCGUCGGACUCAUAAUCCGAAGGUCGCGGGUUCGAGCCCCGCUCCCGGCACCA